rnacentral:misc_RNA from 1 species
GAUGAAGAACGUAGCGAAAUGCGAUACUUGGUGUGAAUUGCAGAAUCCCGUGAACCAUCGAGUCUUUGAACGCAAGUUGCGCCCGAAGCCGUCAGGCCGAGGGCACGCCUGCCUGGGCGUCACACGCCGUUGCCCCCCCGCGCCCCGCACCCAACUCUUUGGGAGCGACCGCGGGGCGGGCUGAUGAUGGCUUCCCGUGCGCUCCGCCGCGCGGUUGGCCCAAAUACCGAGUCCCCGGCGACGUGCGCCACGACGAUCGGUGGUUGAGAGACCUCUGUCGCAAGUCGUGCGCGCCCGUCGCGUCACGCGGGCUCGCAUAGCGCCUCGCGCCGCACCCGGUGCGGAGCUUUCAACGCGACCCCAGGUCAGGCGGGGUUACCCGCUGAAUUUAAGCAUAUCAAUAAGCGGAGGA